rnacentral:rRNA from 1 species
GAUGAACGCUGGCGGCGUGCCUAAUACAUGCAAGUCGAGCGAACGGACGAGAAGCUUGCUUUUCUGAUGUUAGCGGCGGACGGGUGAGUAACACGUGGAUAACCUACCUAUAAGACUGGGAUAACUUCGGGAAACCGGAGCUAAUACCGGAUAAUAUUUUGAACCGCAUGGUUCAAAAGUGAAAGACGGUCUUGCUGUCACUUAUAGAUGGAUCCGCGCUGCAUUAGCUAGUUGGUAAGGUAACGGCUUACCAAGGCAACGAUGCAUAGCCGACCUGAGAGGGUGAUCGGCCACACUGGAACUGAGACACGGUCCAGACUCCUACGGGAGGCAGCAGUAGGGAAUCUUCCGCAAUGGGCGAAGGCCUGACGGAGCAACGCCGCGUGAGUGAUGAAGGUCUUCGGAUCGUAAAACUCUGUUAUUAGGGAAGAACAUAUGUGUAAGUAACUGUGCACAUCUUGACGGUACCUAAUCAGAAAGCCACGGCUAACUACGUG